rnacentral:misc_RNA from 1 species
AAAGUCGUAACAAGGUUUCCGUAGGUGAACCUGCGGAAGGAUCAUUACAGAGUUCAUGCCCUCCGGGGCAGACCUCCCACCCUUUGUAUACAUUGCCUUUGUUGCUUUGGCGGGCCGCCGCAAGGCCACCGGCUCCGGCUGGUGCGCGCCCGCCAGAGGACCCCAAACCCUGUCUUACAGUGUCGUCCGAGUACUAUACAAUAGUUAAAACUUUCAACAACGGAUCUCUUGGUUCUG